CCACUCCUCUGUUCAAGAAGUGGAUUGCAUGCUUGGUCAAAGAGGAUGUCCUUCCCUAAUAGAGGAGGUCCCUUCUUUGGUCAAGGGUGUAUGAGUAGCUGCACUCCCCUGCUAGAAUCUCCAGACAAGCUCUCAAGAGGCAGAGCCUAAC
ensembl:misc_RNA 7SK 7SK RNA